UACGUAGGGUGCAAGCGUUGUCCGGAAUUAUUGGGCGUAAAGAGCUCGUAGGCGGUCUGUCGCGUCUGCUGUGAAAACUCAGGGCUUAACCCUGAGCUUGCAGUGGGUACGGGCAGGCUAGAGUGCGGUAGGGGAGACUGGAAUUCCUGGUGUAGCGGUGAAAUGCGCAGAUAUCAGGAGGAACACCGGUGGCGAAGGCGGGUCUCUGGGCCGUAACUGACGCUGAGGAGCGAAAGCGUGGGGAGCGAACAGG
rnacentral:rRNA from 1 species